CCAGACUCCUACGGGAGGCAGCAGUGGGGAAUAUUGGACAAUGGGGGGAGCCCUGAUCCAGCGACGCCGCGUGAGUGAAGAAGUAUUUCGGUAUGUAAAGCUCUAUCAGCAGGGAAGAAAGAAAUGACGGUACCUGACUAAGAAGCCCCGGCUAACUACGUGCCAGCAGCCGCGGUAAUACGUAGGGGGCAAGCGUUAUCCGGAUUUACUGGGUGUAAAGGGAGCGUAGACGGCGAUGCAAGUCUGAAGUGAAAGGCGGGGGCCCAACCCCCGGACUGCAUUGGAAACUGUUGAACUGGAGUACAGGAGAGGUAAGCGGAAUUCCUAGUGUAGCGGUGAAAUGCGUAGAUAUUAGGAGGAACACCAGUGGCGAAGGCGGCUUACUGGACUGUAACUGACGUUGAGGCUCGAAAGCGUGGGGAGCAAACAGGAUUAGAUACCCCCGUAAG
rnacentral:rRNA from 1 species